ensembl:lncRNA
UGAAGACACUGCAGAUCCGAUCUGAAUAUAAAUUAUGAAUCACAAAUGUGUCAGUUCUCACCUGUGGUUUGAUUGGUGGGAGUAGUUUGAAUGGCAGGGGCUGGGGUUAGAAGUCCUGCCCCUUACCAAUAUGGGGGCUGGAAGGGUAUAAAAUGUAUUUUGGUGGCCAGUCAAGCAUAAGGAAGUCAAAAGCACGUUUGCUGGUUGCUUUAUGUCUGCUGCACAGUUUCCCACAUAGACCUGUGCUAAAGAUGCUGUCACGAAAUCUUGUAAUUGCCUCAGUGGCUGUUGUGCUUCUGGCGUCCACCCUAUCUACGGCUCCUGUUGAAGAUAAGGAGCCUGAAGAAAAUGACUUUGAGGCUGAAGAGGGUGAAGAAGAACUGUCUGAGGAGGAAGAGGAUGAUGAUGACUCCAAAGGUCAGCAUAUAAAGGGAGCCGGAUCGCAGCAGGCCACUGCAGCACCCAAAGGCUUGGGUAUGACUCCUGGCAGCGCUGUUGCGGGCGAAUCCCCAAAUGGUAAGGAAAGUCUACUCGAUAACGCAAAAACAAGUUCUGUACGGAGUGCAUUAGCCUCCCAUGGCCUCCGGUGA